CAGGAGCUGGUAACAGACGUGAUGGGAGCAGUCUGGGGAGAAGUGUCGGAUACAUCUGUGAGACUUCUGUGAGUUGUGGACUGCAGAAGCAUGGCUGGGGAGAUUACCGCAAGAAUACCUAUGGGGCAGACUAUAAGCCUUUUGAGGACAUCUGAUACACAUUUAAGAAAUUUCCUCAGCGCCUGUCAGAGAUGCUCAAUAAAUGUUUAUCGAGCUCCCACCAACUAAUAUUCUUAUCUUGCAAAUUAUGUAUGAGGCUUUCGGGAUUAUUAAACUCUAGAGUAGGGCUUUUUUUGUUUCUUCUUAGUAUCUGCAUGUACGAAUUUAAAUUUCUAAUUUAAUUUAGACCUAAUAUGUAAGAGUGAUUGGUUGCGAUUAACAACACAAUGCUAAUGGGAAUAAUAUUAAAUGUUUGGCAGGUCAGAGUCCCCUGUACAGCUUCUUAUUUACCAGCUGGGGCCUGUGGUUUGUAAAGAUUUUUCUGCAAAACUUAAGACUGGAGAUUAAUUCUCUGUUCCUUUUCUAUAGCAGCCA